rnacentral:miRNA from 1 species
UGGACGGAAGUCUGAUAAGGGU